GACGAACGCUGGCGGCGUGCUUAACACAUGCAAGUCGAACGAAGUGGCGAACGGGUGAGUAACGCGUAAUCAACCUGCCCUUCAGAGGGGGAUAACAGUUGGCAACGACUGCUAAUACCGCAUACUGAAGGAGGGGAUUGCGUCUGAUUAGCUAGUUGGAGGGGUAACGGCCCACCAAGGCGAUUAUCAGUAGCCGGUCUGAGAGGAUGAACGGCAACAGUUGGACGGAGACACGGCCGAGACUCCUACGGGAGGCAGCAGUGGGGAAUCUUCCGAAAUGGAAGAAAGUCUGACGGAGCAACGCCGCGUGAGUGAUGACGUCCUUCGGGUUGUAAAGCGCUGUUAAUCGGGACGCGGUACCGGAAUAGAAAGCCACGGCUAACUACGUGCCAGCAGCCGCGGUAAUUC
rnacentral:rRNA from 1 species